rnacentral:lncRNA from 1 species
AUGGUGUUGUUCAUCCCUGAUAUGGCUGGUCAUCUGUUUCUGGUCAUCCUCCUUUUCGACACCUUCCAAUACAUCAAAGCCCAAGGUCAAUACCAAGGUCAUUAUCCAAAACCAGACAUUACAGUCACAUUUGAUGAGGACUUCAACAUCAUCUGUUUGAUUCCUGUAUCCGUCAGUCCUGACACCACCUGUAACCUGUAUGUUGGAGAGGAGAGUCAGCCAUCCUUCACAGUAAAGAUCAAGAAUCGAAAAGCUACCUCAGCAUCCGGACCGGAUUUCUGUCAAUUCACUCAAAAACAUAGAGAUCUGAUCAGUCGUCUUCAGUCAGUGAGGAGUAAGGAGGUGAGCUGUGACUAUAGAGUGAGCUCGGGACCAAACUCUCUCUCUUCACGCAGUGAUGGGUACAGGUUUACAGAUCUGGUGGGAGUUCACAUCAGUGAUCCAACAACUAUACCGACACCUUCUAUAGCAGAAACUGUACUUGUCAAUAUGACUCCUCAUUCUACUGGAUCAACCGCUCCACUCAUCACAACCUCUGAGAUCUCUACAGGAAACACCACUGACCCCACACUGACUCCAAUGGGGAAAGAGCCACUUGAUUUCCUGUGGCGUCACAUCCUCACUGUGUUGGUCCUACUGGCUACUUGUGGAGUAAUUAUACACUAUUUCAUCUCCCAUCAAUGUCCAAAAGGUCAGUUUACCUGUCAAUCACUUCCUAUAAGCCAGUAG